AGAAAGCAUCAUCAAACUACUUGAAAUCGGCUGGUUUAGAAAGCUAUGAGUGCUGUAUGAAUAAGAUGAUACAGAGAACAAGAAGUACCCAGGAUACACUUUCUCAUAAUUUCAAGUGAAAGAAAGGAAGUUUGGCAAUGGUUAAAUGCAUAUCGAAAUGUGCCAUAUGGUGUCAUCUAAAACUGUAGAGGUCAAACCAAAACAACAAGAGAAAAUGGAAAGACAGAUAAGGCAACACAAGGGGAAUAAAAUAACAAAGAGAUACAAUUAUAAUAGGUUGGUGUUUCUAGUAAUUGAGUAUAUGGCAAAACAUAUAGUUUGGUCAUUCAUACAAUACACAGAUGCAUUGGAAAAAGUGUUAUAAUAAUAUAUGCUAAUCACUAAAUAUGAGAAAAAUAAAAAGCAAAGGCCCAAGUAAUGAAGGCUUGCUUAAGAACCAAUAAUAAUAUAGUUGUGCCCAGAAUGGACACUGAGUAAUAUUAAAAAGAACCAUGUAAUCAAUCCAUUUGAAUAGGAAUUAGACUUUACUGAGCUGAGAAUCCAAAUAAUUAUCUAGAAAUUA
rnacentral:misc_RNA from 1 species